ensembl:lncRNA
CAUUGCCCCAGGGGCCUCCGCUCUGUAGGGCUUGGAAAGUGUUAGUUGCUUAGUCGCAUCCAACUCUUUGUGACCCCAUGGUCCUGUCAGGGUCCUCUGUCUGUGGGAUUCUCCAGGCAAGGAUACUGGAGUGGGUUGCCAUUCCCUUCUCCAAGGGAUCUUCCCAACCCAGGGAUUGAACCCUGGUCUCCUGAAUUGCAGGUGAAUGCUUUACCGCUGAGCCACUGGAGAAACCUAAGGAAGAGAAUAGCAGGCAUCCCAGAGGGUGUGUGAAAGCACCUCAAAGGCCUUCAAAGACCUUGCUGUAAAAAAUGUAAAAAGAAAAUCAUCACUCUCUUCUCCAGCCUGGCUUCCUGAGCCCUCGACUCUCCAUUGAGUGGGCUGGCCGCACCCAGUAGGCAGGACACAGGAGGUGGCAACUCCCAUUUUUGGCACCAACAGGCCCACCAUCCAAUCUUAAUUCUCUUUCCGAGUUUCCCACACAACACUGGGCGAGAAUUUCUUCACAGAUCAAGCAAUUGAGCUUGUUCUGCUGAAGCUACUAUCUCAGAGGAGUGGUUAAAAGCAGGGACUUUGGAAUCACAAGGACAUUGGUUCAAAUCUCAGAUCACCUACUUAUUAGCUGGGUGAUUUAACGCAAUUUCUUUACAGAUGGACACUCAUUCCUUCAUCUGUACAAUGGGCAAAAAUCAUAUCUUCCUCAUGAAGCUUGUGAGGAUUAAAAGGGAUCACCCAUGGAAAGAGCUUAACAGUGCCAAGUUCAUAAUCACCACCACUACUUCUACUGCUAUCCAGGUCAUCUUACCCUAGGGUGUGCAUCCUCAGUGAUCAAUGCAAAGAAAUAGAAGAAAACAACAGCAUGGGAAAGACUAGAGAUCUCUUCAAGAAAAUUAGAGAUACGAAGGGAACAUUUCAUGCAAAGAUGGGCUCAAUAAAGGACAGAAAUGGUAUGGACUUAACAGGAGCAGAAGAUAUUAAGAAGAGGUGGCAAGAAUACACAGAAGAAUUAUACAAAAAAGAUCUUCACAACCCAGAUAAUCACUACGAUGUGAUCACUCACCUAGAGCCAGACAUCCUGGAAUGUGAAGUCAAGUGGGCCUUAAGAAGCAUCGCUAUGAACAAAGCUAGUGGAGGUGAUGGAAUUCCAGUUGAGCUACUUCAUAUCCUAAAAGAUGAUGUUGUGAAAGUGCUGCACUCAAUAUGCCAGCAAAUUUGGAAAAGUCAGCAGUGGCCACAGGACUGGAAAAGGUCAGUUUUCAUUCCAAUCCCAAAGAAAGGCAAUGCCAAAGAAUGCUCAGACUACCACACAAUUGCACUCAUCUCACAUGCUAGUAAAGUAAUGCUCAAAAUUCUCCAAGCCAGGCUUCAACAAUAUGUGAUCUGUGAAAUUCCAGAUGCUCAAGCUGGAUUUAGAAAAGGCAGAGGAACCAGAGAUCAAAGUGCCAACAUCCGCUGAGUCAUUGAAGAAGCGGGAAAGUUCCAGAAAAACAUCUGCUUUAUUGACUAUGCCAAAGCCUUUGACUGUAUGGAUCACAACAAACUGUGGAAAAUUCUGAAAGAGAUGGGAAAAACAGACUGGUUCCAAAUUGGGAAAGGAGUACGUCAAGGCUCUAUCUUGUCACCCUGCUUAUUUAACUUAUAUGCAGAGUACAUCAUGAGAAAUGCUGGACUGGAUGAAGCACAAACUGGAAUCAAGAUUGCAGGGAGAAUUAUCAAUAACCUCAGAUAUGCAGAUGAUACCACCCUUAUGGCAG